CGACUGACCUUCCUCUUCCACUGCGCUGGCGUCCAUAAACCCCGCUGCCAUCAGCCUGAGCCACUAAGCCUGGCUUUUCUUCACACCCAGACAUCGAAUGCAUAGCUGGCUGCCAGCUGGAGCUGCCAUCGCCUGCGCUACCUUUAGCCUGUCUGCUGCUGAGCCACUGCACUCACCGGCUGACUGCGGCUCCGGACCGGGCAACGGGACCUUCCCUUUGACAAAGGUCAUGGUACAGCACCUCCGGUACUGCCAGAAUCCAAGCUCUUAUAUAAAGCAACAGGUUAUGCUUCUGCACCUCUGCUGUGAAGAAAGUCUUCCUUAAAACCUUCCUUAAACCUGUCAAGGUUCCUCAGAGGGCAAGGACGUGGCCGUGUGCAGAAGAUUUCCUGUUUUGAGCUCGGCUAACUGUAUUCUGCAGGCUUUCCCUCGGCCACCUGUGUCUGACGCACAACCGAAGUACCGUGCAUGAUGACCAUGCUGCUCCCAGUGGUCCACAAGCCUUUCUUUUGCAAAUGGGCAUCGCGAGACACACCACUGUCAAGAAUUUUAAUUCUAGGAAACAAAGGGAGGAAGGAACCACUUAACGGAUCAGCCCCUUCUGAUAUCCUGUUAAAGUGUAGUUUCAGGAUUAAAAAAAAAAAAACAAAUGGGAGGACAGUAGCAUGA